GGAUAAAACAAAGCUGAUAACAAAAGCUGAUUAUUCAUGCAUGUAGAAUGAUUUUAACUAGCCAGUUAGGCAAUAUUGACAUUUUCCUGCCUUGUUAGUGUUUUUUUGAGCACUGCUGGAGAUUGCUCUUUGUUCACCAAAGCUCUGAUAAAGCACAACCUGCUCAGUUUUUGGGGUUAUAAUGAUGGUGCAGGACAUGUUCUAUCCCACCUCGGUGAAUAUUAAAAUGAAUUAUUUGCUAUGAGUGAUUUCCUACCGUGCUUUCAUACUCUUUUCUACCAUCACCUAAUGGUGGCUGUGCUGGGCAGAAGGAUGCCCCUUAUUUUGACCAAUAAAAAUUUGCCUUCCCCGAGGAGAAUGCAAAUCCUUUUUAUCACUUUGCAAUGGCACAUGACAUCUGCAGGAACCUUUCCCCUUCCAGUUCCCUCCUGCCUGCCUUCCCCACUCCCAGAGCAGGCUCAGAGCCUCUCCCCCACCCUCUGAUGCAAACCCAUGUGUGCAGCAUCCCUUUGCUGCUGGCUGGAGCUUUUCCUUCCAGUUCCUGGCCUCGGGGUUGUCCUCUCAAUAUUUCCUUUUCUGCAGCUUGGAAAACCCAGCCUGCCCAGAAAAAAAACCAGCAGCUCCAAUAGCUCCUGGCAGCUUUGGUGCUGAUGAGACAGGCUGGGAGUGUGCUGGAGCUCUUUUAACUCUGUGUGCUCAUCUUCUCUUGGGGUUUGGGGCUUUUAGAGGCCUCUGAUGGGGUCUGGGAUUCUGUAAUUCUUGCAGUGUCUCUGUAUUUUCUCCACACUGAAAGCUCCUGGUUUAGCAAGUCGAGCUCAGGAACAACUUCAACCCAUGAAAGGCAAAUUAAUUUCCAGUUUCUGCAAGGAGGGAGCCGAUUCAGGCAGGAGUUAGCACUGCUCUUCCACCCUUGCUGCUGAUUUAAAUGCUGCUUCAUUUUUUAUGACCAUCUUGUAAAAGCAGAAUGGAAGGGGGGAGAAAACUCCAAAGACUAAAAAGCAAAUAAAUUCUGCUUUUCUAAAAUACCUGUGUGGACACUGGAACAGAGCUCACUCAAGACUCUCUCUUAGAAAAUGUUCUACUUUUACCUGGAAGUAGGAUGAGCCUGGCAGUGAGAGUUAAUUGUCCUGGAUUUAGGAGGUUUGUGAUGCUCUUGCCUUUGAGGAUACCCAGUUCUUUUCUCCCCUUGCUGAUUUAAUGUCCCAGCUUUGUUGUAACUUCUGCUGUGACACUGCCAGCUUUAGUUCAUGGAGGGGACACGGUGUGUGGUCUCCUUGUUACCAAAACUGAUAAUCUUAUCAGCAAGUGAGGGAGAGGCUGUCAGGGCUCUGGGUGAGGAGGAAAAGCUGGAUU